CUGAUUGGCCUAGUGAAUUCCUCUGUUUCUCCAUAAAACAAUGGCAGCAUGAGCAGAAGCAGUGCAAAUUUCUCCACAUUGCCCUAUCAAUGUGUCUGGGCCCUAACAUUGAGGAAUCACCUCUAAAGGCAAAAAUGUCUCUAGCUGAUUUAGUUCUUGGCUUCU
rnacentral:sRNA from 1 species